rnacentral:rRNA from 1 species
UACGGGGGGGGCAAGCGUUGUUCGGAAUUAUUGGGCGUAAAGAGCUCGUAGGCGGCUUGUCACGUCGAUUGUGAAAGCCCGAGGCUUAACCUCGGGUCUGCAGUCGAUACGGGCUAGCUAGAGUGUGGUAGGGGAGAUCGGAAUUCCAGGUGUAGCGGUGAAAUGCGUAGAUAUCUGGAGGAACACCGGUGGCGAAGGCGGCAUCCUGGACCAACACUGACGCUGAGGAGCGAAAGCGUGGGGAGCGAACAGG